UACGGGGGGGGCAAGCGUUGUUCGGAAUUACUGGGCGUAAAGCGUGCGUAGACGGUUAUCUAAGUCGGGUGUGAAAUCCCCGGGCUCAACCUGGGAAUUGCAUUCGAUACUGGAUAGCUAGAGUUCGGCAGAGGGAAGUGGAAUUUCCGGUGUAGCGGUGAAAUGCGUAGAUAUCGGAAGGAACAUCAGUGGCGAAAGCGACUUCCUGGACCAGAACUGACGUUCAGGCACGAAAGCGUGGGGAGCAAACAGG
rnacentral:rRNA from 1 species